ensembl:lncRNA
GUCCCAGGGCCAGUGCUGGGCUCCCCGCCCGUGUCUGUGGCCUUAGGCCCUUGCCUGCUUCUGGCCUCUCUAGCUGGGGCUGUGGCUUUAAGCCCCUGGACUGGUUGCAGCCUUUCGGGCUGUGGUUUUGGUCCCCAGGAUUGGUACCAAAUUUGAAGAAACCAACAGGAGGCUCACCCAAUGGGGUUCUGUGAAGCAUCAGAACAGAGAAAUACACACGAUAAUUGUGUAGCCAGGCUGGGUCACCCUCUCGCUCAGGCGCUGCAUGAUCAGACUCAGAAAAUGUUUCCCCCAAGCUGCCUCCAGAUUGGGGUCAUUCAGUUCAUUAGGGUCUAUGGGGUCAUUGAAGUCAAUGGGGUCAUUGAGGUCUAUGGGGUGUUUGAGUCAACGGGCUCACUGGGGUCAUGAGUGUCACUGGGGUCAGUGGGGGUCAAUGGGGUCAAUGGGAUCAUAGGGGGUCAUUGGGUUCAAUAUGGUCACUUGGGUCAGUAGGGGUCACUGGGGUCAAUGGGGGUCAUUGAGGACAUUGGUGUCAGUGAAGUCAUUGGGAUCAAUGGGGUCAAUGGAGUGAAUGGGGUUAAUGGGGUCAGUGGGGGUUAUUGGAGACAAUUGGGUCAUUGGGGUUAUUGGGGUCAUUGAGGUCAAUGGGGGACAUGUGGGAUUAAUGGGAUCUGUGGUGUCGAUGGGGUUACUGGGGUCAAUGGGGUCAUGUGGGGUCUAUGGAGUCAGUGGGGUAAAUGUGUUGUUGGGGUCAUAUGGGGUCACGGGUAUCAUUAGAAACAUGGGCAUUGGUGGGGUCAAUGGGGUCACUGGGGUCCUUGGGGUCAUUGGGUACAUGUGGGAUCAUUUAGAUCAUUGGGGACAGGGGGGUUAUGGGAUUCAUGUGAGGUCACUGGGGUCACUGGGUCAAAGGCAUCAAUGGGGUCAGUGGGGCCAAUGGGGUUUUUGCAGGCCAGAAGGGUUUGGGCUUCCAAGCAAUCACCAAGCUUUUGGAUGAGCCAGCCCUCUGCUUUUUGUGAGGACAGACCCCAACGAGCCCACAUAACACAAAUAACCUCCUUGACCCCCACAGACAAGUCCUCCUUGGAAAGCCAUCUCGGCAAGGGCAGAAUAGCGCUGUUCUUGGGCCGCAGCACUCCAUGGCCAGGCGCUGCUCAGACGCUGGGGCUGCAUUUCCUCCUGGGCACCCACACAUGCUGCGAUUCCCCUGCAGGUUCCUGCCGGGUUUGUGGCUUCCUGCUGGGGAACUCCUCAUCUUCUUCUGCAACUGCCCCCCAACGUCACUACUGCCUCCUCUGGUGCUGUACUGGCAGAUGCCUCAGCGUUCAUGAGCCUGGACUUCCUGCCUCCCAUCAGCAGCUGCUCCUUCAUUCAUACUGCAAUACCGUCCACUUCCAGCUCCAGCAGAGCUGCAAGGCAGAGAUGGGAAACGUGGGAUUAAUGCAAAAGCAGAAGCCCAAGGCUGUCCCACCACCACGUAUUGCAGCCUCGGAAAGUCAGCUGCAACUACAACCUCUGUCAGAAUCAAAACAGGCACCGUACAUUAAGGGUCACCUCUGAACUGAAGGAAUUACCACAGUUGGAAAUAAAUACUGAAAUUGCUCAUUUAUCUGUAGGUGGUUACCGCUGUAUUCUUUGGCUUUUGGGAAAAUGUGGACUUGGAAUUGAAGGAUACAAGGAAAAGGAGCAGCACUUGGCAACUCCUGCAAACUGAGCAGUGCGGGGAAGAUUGUGUCAUUUCUUCUCCGGGCCCACAAAUUAAGUUUCCUUCCUUACAAAGAGAAGGGAAAAAGAGCCUGACAUAAAGGAGACACAGUGCAGUCUCACCUCACACGUAGAAGAAGGAGAGCUCUCAUGGCACUAAUCAUAGAAUCACGGAAUCAUAGGAUGGCCUGGGUUGAAAAGGACGUCAAAGGUCAUUGAGUUCCAACCCCCAGCUAUGUGCAGGGUCGCCAACCACCAGACCAGGCUGCCCAGAGCCACAUCCUUGGCCCUGAAUGCCUCCAGGGAUGGGGCAUCCACAACCUCCCUGGGCAACCUCUUCCAGCGCGUCAGCACCCUCUGAGUGUAAAACUUCCUCCUAGUAGCUAAUGUAAAUUUCCCCAGUCUCCAUUGAAAAGCAUUCCCCCUUAUCCUAUCACUAUCCACCCUCAUAAACAGC